GAAAUGCGAUAAGUAGUGUGAAUUGCAGAAUUCAGUGAAUCAUCGAAUCUUUGAACGCACAUUGCGCCCCUUGGUAUGCCAUGGGGCAUGCCUGUUCGAGCGUCAUCUACACCCUCAAGCUCUGCUUGGUGUUGGGCGUCUUUGUCCCGCCUCCGCGCGCGGACUCGCCCCAAAUUCAUUGGCAGCGGUCCUUGCCUCCUCUCGCGCAGCACAUUGCGCUUCUCGAGGUGUUGCGGCCCGCGUCCAGAAAGCAAUCGUUACCGUCUUUGACCUCGGAUCAGGUAGGGAUACCCGCUGAACUUAAGC
rnacentral:misc_RNA from 1 species